rnacentral:rRNA from 1 species
UAGGGAAUCUUCGGCAAUGGACGAAAGUCUGACCGAGCAACGCCGCGUGAGUGAAGAAGGUUUUCGGAUCGUAAAACUCUGUUGGUAGAGAAGAACGUUGGUGAGAGUGGAAAGCUCAUCAAGUGACGGUAACUACCCAGAAAGGGACGGCUAACUACGUGCCAGCAGCCGCGGUAAUACGUAGGUCCCGAGAGUUGUCCGGAUUUAUUGGGCGUAAAGCGAGCGCAGGUGGUUUAUUAAGUCUGGUGUAAAAGGCAGUGGCUCAACCAUUGUAUGCAUUGGAAACUUGUAGACUUGAGUGCAGGAGAGGAGAGUGGAAUUCCAUGUGUAGCGGUGAAAUGCGUAGAUAUAUGGAGGAACACCGGUGGCGAAAGCGGCUCUCUGGCCUGUAACUGACACUGAGGCUCGAAAGCGUGGGGAGCAAACA